AAUUAAACCCGAUUGCCGUGAAAAUACUUUUUUUUUAAUAGUACUGCUUACAGGUAAAAAAAAAGAUUGAACAGAAAGCGGGAGUUUCC
rnacentral:sRNA from 1 species